GCCUGAGCCGCGCGGGCGCAAGGGACGGCGCACGGCUGCCGGAGGUACAGCUUCGUCGGAGACUGAAGACACCGGCGCUCGGGGCCGAGGGUGGGCGCGGCGUAAGAAAGUGCUUCUAUCCAUGUUGUGAAUUACUUAUGGAGAAGAGUGGCUGCAGUCCUUCAACCGCAAGGAGCUGAGUUCUGCAACAACCUGAGUGAGCUUGAAAGGGGACCUGGAACUCCAGGAACUGUGAGUCAGGAUGAAAACUCGAGACAGUAGCCAAUUGUUGAGGAGUAGCUGCAGCCUUUGGCCAUCGUGCCACGCGAGGUCUGAGCUUCCCCAACACAAUAUGGACGUCACAAGGGGGUGCUUAUGUUGGCAGCCCAGGCAGACCCCACGGCAGCAGAAGCAGCACGAGCUGACGGAAAAGAGCACUGGGCGAAGAGUCAGGAGGCUUGGCUCGAGUUCAGUCUGCUGUGAAUGACAUGACUUUGGGCAAGCUGAGCAUUUUCUCCAUUGACAGAAACAGUGCUGCCCUCUCUUCUCAGAGUUCUUAUUGAGAUAAAAAAUAAUAAGUCUGAGUGGUUUGGGAAAGUAAAAAGCGAUGAUAAACAUUUGUACCGUUUCUUUAUUCGUUCAGCAAGCAUGUACAUGCCAGGCGUGGGUUAUCCCUGUUAGGACACCUGGAUGGCUCCUGAGCUGGACCUUGUGGGUUCUCAGGGCAGUGGAGAUGAAGCAGCAGCACAUCCAUGCAAUGCUGUGUGGGUGGGUCUUAGAACUUCAGCAGCUAUGAACUGCAAUAAAGAAUCAGAGGUGGUCAUGGACACCUCUGCCAGGGAGACUGGUGAAUUUUUCCCAGACCUGGUGGGUUUUGAUAUAGCUCUUGGAAAAUGAGAAAUUUACCCAGCUGAAAGGGAGUGAAAGGGUAUUUUAGGCAGAAGGACCGGCAUUUUCAAGGCACAGCCGUGUGAGUGUACAUAGAGAAUCAUCAAGUUAAAAUUAACCCACGGAUAUUCACUGAGUACCUACCUUCCUCUAGGACUGCUAAGAGCUGGG
ensembl:lncRNA